GACGGAGGAUGCAAGCGUUAUCCGGAAUGAUUGGGCGUAAAGCGUCCGCAGGUGGCAGUUCAAGUCUGCUGUCAAAGACCGGGGCUUAACUUCGGAAAGGCAGUGGAAACUGAACAGCUAGAGUAUGGAAGAGGCGAGUGGAACUCCUGGUGUAGCGGUGGAAUGCGCAGAUAUCAGGAAGAACACCGACGGCGAAGGCAGCUCGCUGGGACGGUACUGACGCUGAGGCGCGAAAGCGUGGGGAGCAAACAGG
rnacentral:rRNA from 1 species